GCCCACCUAGCUCAGUUGGUAGAGCACGUCCUUGGUAAGGACGGGGUCGUCGGUUCAAAUCCGAUGGUGGGCU
rnacentral:tRNA from 1 species